rnacentral:piRNA from 1 species
UAGACCGUUCAGAGCGUUCUCGAAUCCAUC